CUUCGAGGACGACUUCGAGGACGACUUCGAUGACGACUCUUGAGGACGACCUCA
rnacentral:ncRNA from 1 species